rnacentral:rRNA from 1 species
CCUACGGGAGGCAGCAGUGAGGAAUAUUGGUCAAUGGACGAGAGUCUGAACCAGCCAAGUAGCGUGAAGGAUGACUGCCCUAUGGAUUGUAAACUUCUUUUAUAUGGGAAUAAAAUGUUCCACGUGUGGGAUUUUGUAUGUACCAUAUGAAUAAGGAUCGGCUAACUCCGUGCCAGCAGCCGCGGUAAUACGGAGGAUCCGAGCGUUAUCCGGAUUUAUUGGGUUUAAAGGGAGCGUAGGUGGAUUGUUAAGUCAGUUGUGAAAGUUUGCGGCUCAACCGUAAAAUUGCAGUUGAAACUGGCAGUCUUGAGUACAGUAGAGGUGGGCGGAAUUCGUGGUGUAGCGGUGAAAUGCUUAGAUAUCACGAAGAACUCCGAUUGCGAAGGCAGUUCACUGGACUGCAGCUGACACUGAGGCUCGAAAGUGUGGGUAUCAAACAGGAUUAGAUACCCUAGUAGUC